rnacentral:ribozyme from 1 species
GUGCGGUCCGGCCCAUCCGGGUCUGGGAAGCACGCCAGGGAAACACAACGAAAGUUGGCAUAUUAACUGGC